UCCGGCUCAACGCCGGCAGUCUCUCUAGAGUCCCCACCAUUACGUGCUGGCAACUAGAAACGGGGGUUGCGCUCGUUGCGGGACUUAACCCAACACCUCACGGCACGAGCUGACGACAGCCAUGCACCACCUGUCAGGGGCCCUUACGGACACCGUAUCUCUGCGGCUUUUCCCCUGAUGUCAAGCCCUGGUAAGGUUCUUCGCGUUGCAUCGAAUUGAGCCACAUGCUCCACCGCUUGUGCGGGCCCCCGCCAAUUCCUUUGAGUUUCAACCUUGCGGCCGUAGUCCCCAGGCGGUUCACUUAAUGCGUUAGCUGCGGCACCGAGGGUAACCCCCGACACCUAGUGAACAUCGUUUAUGGCCAAGACUAC
rnacentral:misc_RNA from 1 species